CCUACGGGAGGCUGCAGUGGGGGAUAUUGCACAAUGGGGGAAACCCUGAUGCAGCGACGCCGCGUGGGUGAAGAAGCGCCUCGGCGCGUAAAGCCCUGUCAGCAGGGAAGAAAAUGACGGUACCUGACGAAGAAUCCCCGGCUAACUACGUGCCAGCAGCCGCGGUAACACGGAGGGGGCCAGCGUUAUCCGGAUUUAAUGGGCGUAAAGGGGGCGCAGACGGCGAUGCAAGCCAGGAGUGAAAGCCCGGGGCCCAACCCCGGGACUGCUCUUGGAACUGCGUGGCUAGAGUGCAGGAGGGGCAGGCGGAAUGCCUGGUGUAGCGGUGAAAUGCGUAGAGAUCAGGAGGAACACCGGUGGCGAAGGCGGCCUGCUGGACUGCAACUGACGUUGAGGCCCGAAAGCGUGGGGAGCAAACAGGAUUAGAUACCCGGGUAGUC
rnacentral:rRNA from 1 species